rnacentral:rRNA from 1 species
GCAGUCGAGCGGUAGCACAGAGAGCUUGCUCUCGGGUGACGAGCGGCGGACGGGUGAGUAAUGUCUGGGAAACUGCCUGAUGGAGGGGGAUAACUACUGGAAACGGUAGCUAAUACCGCAUAACGUCGCAAGACCAAAGUGGGGGACCUUCGGGCCUCAUGCCAUCAGAUGUGCCCAGAUGGGAUUAGCUAGUAGGUGGGGUAAUGGCUCACCUAGGCGACGAUCCCUAGUGGUCUGAGAGGAUGACCAGCCACACUGGAACUGAGACACGGUCCAGACUCCUACGGGAGGCAGCAGUGGGGAAUAUUGCACAAUGGGCGCAAGCCUGAUGCAGCCAUGCCGCGUGUAUGAAGAAGGCCUUCGGGUUGUAAAGUACUUUCAGCGAGGAGGAAGGCGUUAAGGUUAAUAACCUUGGCGAUUGACGUUACUCGCAGAAGAAGCACCGGCUAACUCCGUGCCAGCAGCCGCGGUAAUACGGAGGGUGCAAGCGUUAAUCGGAAUUACUGGGCGUAAAGCGCACGCAGGCGGUCUGUCAAGUCGGAUGUGAAAUCCCCGGGCUCAACCUGGGAACUGCAUUCGAAACUGGCAGGCUAGAGUCUUGUAGAGGGGGGUAGAAUUCCAGUGUAGCGGUGAAAUGCGUAGAGAUCUGGAGGAAUACCGGUGGCGAAGGCGGCCCCCUGGACAAAGACUGACGCUCAGGUGCGAAAGCGUGGGGGAGCAAACAGGAUUAGAUACCCUGGUAGUCCACGCCGUAAACGAUGUCGACUUGGAGGUUGUGCCCUUGAGGCGUGGCUUCCGGAGCUAACGCGUUAAGUCGACCGCCUGGGGAGUACGGCCGCAAGGUUAAAACUCAAAUGAAUUGACGGGGGCCCGCACAAGCGGUGGAGCAUGUGGUUUAAUUCGAUGCAACGCGAAGAACCUUACCUACUCUUGACAUCCAGAGAACUUAGCAGAGAUGCUUUGGUGCCUUCGGGAACUCUGAGACAGGUGCUGCAUGGCUGUCGUCAGCUCGUGUUGUGAAAUGUUGGGUUAAGUCCCGCAACGAGCGCAACCCUUAUCCUUUGUUGCCAGCGGUCCGGCCGGGAACUCAAAGGAGACUGCCAGUGAUAAACUGGAGGAAGGUGGGGAUGACGUCAAGUCAUCAUGGCCCUUACGAGUAGGGCUACACACGUGCUACAAUGGCAUAUACAAAGAGAAGCGACCUCGCGAGAGCAAGCGGACCUCAUAAAGUAUGUCGUAGUCCGGAUUGGAGUCUGCAACUCGACUCCAUGAAGUCGGAAUCGCUAGUAAUCGUAGAUCAGAAUGCUACGGUGAAUACGUUCCCGGGCCUUGUACACACCGCCCGUCACACCAUGGGAGUGGGUUGCAAAAGAAGUAGGUAGCUUAACCUUCGGGAGGGCGCUACC